rnacentral:rRNA from 1 species
AAUAGAUACCCGGGUAGUCCAUGCCGUAAACGAUGUCUACUAGCCGUUGGGGCCUUUGAGGCUUUAGUGGCGCAGCUAACGCGAUAAGUAGACCGCCUGGGGAGUACGGUCGCAAGACUAAAACUCAAAUGAAUUGACGGGGGCCCGCACAAGCGGUGGAGCAUGUGGUUUAAUUCGAUGCAACGCGAAGAACCUUACCUGGCCUUGACAUACUAAGAACUUUCCAGAGAUGGAUUGGUGCCUUCGGGAACUUAGAUACAGGUGCUGCAUGGCUGUCGUCAGCUCGUGUCGUGAGAUGUUGGGUUAAGUCCCGCAACGAGCGCAACCCUUUUCCUUACUUGCCAGCAUUUCGGAUGGGAACUUUAAGGAUACUGCCAGUGACAAACUGGAGGAAGGCGGGGACGACAUCAAGUCAUCAUGGCCCUUACGGCCAGGGCUACACACGUGCUACAAUGGUCGGUACAAAGGGUUGCUACUGCGCGAGCAGAUGCUAAUCUCAAAAAGCCGAUCGUAGUCCGGAUCGCAGU